rnacentral:rRNA from 1 species
GAUGAACGCUGGCGGCGUGCCUAAUACAUGCAAGUCGAGCGAACGGACGAGAAGCUUGCUCCUCUGAUGUUAGCGGCGGACGGGUGAGUAACACGUGGAUAACCUACCUAUAAGACUGGGAUAACUUCGGGAAACCGUAGCUAAUACCGGAUAAUAUAUUGAACCGCAUGGUUCAAAAGUGAAAGACGGUUUUGCUGUCACUUAUAGAUGGAUCCGCGCUGCAUUAGCUAGUUGGUAAGGUAACGGCUUACCAAGGCAACGAUGCGUAGCCGACCUGAGAGGGUGAUCGGCCACACUGGAACUGAGACACGGUCCAGACUCCUACGGGAGGCAGCAGUAGGGAAUCUUCCGCAAUGGGCGAAAGCCUGACGGAGCAACGCCGCGUGAGUGAUGAAGGUCUUCGGAUCGUAAAACUCUGUUAUUAGGGAAGAACAAAUGUGUAAGUAACUAUGCACGUCUUGACGGUACCUAAUCAGAAAGCCACGGCUAACUACGUG